CUGGUGUCAGCCGCCGCGGUAAUACCAGCACCUCGAGUGGUCAGGAGGUUUAUUGGGCCUAAAGCAUCCGUAGCCGGCUCUGCAAGUCUUCGGUUAAAUCCACCUGCUCAACAGAUGGGCUGCUGGAGAUACUACAGAGCUAGGGAGUGGGAGAGGCAGACGGUAUUCAGUGGGUAGGGGUAAAAUCCUCUGAUCCAUUGAGGACCACCAGUGGCGAAGGCGGUGUACCAGAACACGUUCGACGGUGAGGGAUGAAAGCUGGGGGAGCAAACCGGAUUAGAUACCCGGGUAGUCCCAGCUGUAAACGAUGCAAACUCGGUGAUGCAUUGGCUUGUGGCCAAUGCAGUGCCGCAGGGAAGCCGUUAAGUUUGCCGCCUGGGAAGUACGUACGCAAGUAUGAAACUUAAAGGAAUUGGCGGGGGAGCACCACAAGGGGUGAAGCCUGCGGUUCAAUUGGAGUCAACGCCAGAAAUCUUACCCGGAGCGACAGCAGAAUGAAGGUCAAGCUGAAGACUUUACCAGACAAGCU
rnacentral:rRNA from 2 species